CCUACGGGUGACAGCAGUGAGGAAUAUUGGUCAAUGGACGAGAGUCUGAACCAGCCAAGUAGCGUGAAGGAUGACUGCCCUAUGGGUUGUAAACUUCUUUUAUCAAGGACUAAAACGAGGCACGUGUGCCUUUUUGCAUGUACUUUAUGAAUAAGGAUCGGCUAACUCCGUGCCAGCAGCCGCGGUAAUACGGAGGUUCCGAGCGUUAUCCGGAUUUAUUGGGUUUAAAGGGAGCGUAGAUGGGUUGUUAAGUCAGGUGUGAAUGUUUGCGGCUCAAGCGUAAAAUUGCAAUUGAUACUGGCAGGCUUGAGUACAGUUGAGGUAGGAGGAAUGCGUGGUGUAGCGGUGAAAUGCUUAGAUAUCACGAAGAACCCCGAUUGCGAAGGCAGCUUACUAAACUGUGACUGACAUUGAUGCUCGAAAGUGUGGGUAUCAAACAGGAUUAGAUACCCCAGUAGUC
rnacentral:rRNA from 1 species